rnacentral:rRNA from 1 species
UGCCAGCCGCCGCGGUAAUACGGAGGGUGCGAGCGUUAAUCGGAAUCAUUGGGCUUAAAGGGUGCGUAGGCGGUGCAGUCAGUCGGGUGUGAAAUCCCUCGGCUCAACCGAGGAACUGCGCCCGAUACUGCUGUGCUUGAGGGAGACAGAGGCGAGCGGAACUGAUGGUGGAGCGGUGAAAUGCGUUGAUAUCAUCAGGAAUACCAGUGGCGAAAGCGGCUCGCUGGGUCUCUUCUGACGCUGUGGCACGAAAGCUAGGGGAGCGAACGGGAUUAGAUA